UUGAACUAUAAAUAAAGGCAACAGUAGUAUACCGCUGUUCAAACUCAUAAAUCCAUGGACAAAAAACAAAAUCGGAGUAACAAACUAAAACUGACGGAAACGCAUAAAUAUAAGAGAAGAACAACGACACAACACUACAAUGUAACUAACACACACAGAAACGGACCAAGCAUCAAACAAAAUCCCACGAGAAUAACAAAUAUAACAUCAAAACCAAAUACAUGAAUUUGGGAUAGACAAGUACCGUGACACGUCUUAUCGCAAUGUCAAUUUACACUCAAAAAUAAGAGAAAACAAACGACGCAACGUUAAAUUGUAACACACAGAGAAACGAACUAUAAUAUAACAAUGGC
rnacentral:lncRNA from 1 species